rnacentral:misc_RNA from 1 species
GUAGGUGAACCUGCGGAAGGAUCAUUAACUAUUCAACAUGUACCUUGUGAAUCACGAGGGAGAGGCUGUGAUGUGUUGUGAGUAUGUUGUAGAGUGUGUGUAGGUGGAGUAUAUUGUGUAUGUGUUGUGAAGGCAUGUGUCGUAGAAGAUUUCUAUGUAUGUGCCAGUAUAUUCCAUAUUAUACAAUAUUCCAUAACACGUCCUCACAACACCCUCGCAAACACCCUCACACAAUCCCCCUCGUACAUAU